GCUGAUGUAUGGUUUGCUGACGUCCCCAUCGGUGUGCACCCACCGACACAGACGACUCUGCAAGGCAGCCGUUUUCUCAAACCACUCUGAGGGCGGCACCUGCGACAUGCCUGUAUGACUCUCGUAUGGAUGAACAGCUCAUCACCGAACGGACCGGACACACGUCAUCAGCAGUCCAUAGUUACAAGCGAACGUCCAAAGAAAUGGCCAGAAAAGUAGAUGACAUCGUUCAAAGGAAAAGAACUGCGACAGCAACAACGGGCUCAUCGACAACAAUCCGUUGGCACAGAAGAACCGCCUCCGGAGAAGAUAAUAUUGGAGUGAAAAAAAUAUAGUCCUUAAAGACGGCACCCGCACCUCCGUUCAGUUGUAAUUCUUGAAUCAAUUAAAAACCUGAAACCUG